CUUUGUGGGCGGCGCCUCGGUCUUGGCCUCGCGCAGCCUCUUCAGCUCCCAAUGCACUUCCGCCGGGGGUUGGUUCCUCUGCCUGUGCUGCCUCAGCCGCUGGUAGGACGCAUCCAGCAUGUGAGGUACACACUGAGUGAAGUGGAAGCAAAGUCAUCUGAGAGUGAAGUGCUGACAUCUCUUUGGAAUCUUAGAAGUGCCCAGAAUUGAACUGUGUCAUGUAUUAGAGCCUGCAACUGGAAUAAUGUGGAAGCUGUAACUGCAGUGUUUGAGUGGCUACCCAUGGAUAUAUCUGAAAUACUGGAAUGACCAGAAGUAAAUUGGUAAGACAUCAUGGACCAAAAUUUGGAAAGGUUUCUGUGCUUUCCUGAGUAUAGUCAAGUGUUAAAACUUAAAAUAUAGAGGUUAUUUCUGCAUCUCCCAUGCAUGUCCUCAAGUAUCUAAGAACUACUAUAUUACUAAUUCUCAAAGCAGCUCACUAAUUAUCUUCAGAAAGGAAACUGCCACUAAUUUCUGUCAACUAAGGUUUGAACUUAACCUAAGCUAGUGAUUCCAACAAUAAUUUAAAAGGAUCGUAUACUAUGAUCAAGUGGGAUUUAUCCCAAGGAUGCAAAGAUUUUUCAGUAUCCACAAAUAAUAAAUGUGACAUACCUACCACAUUAACAAAUUGAAAAAUAAAAGCCAUUUGAUGACUUUAAUAGAUGCAGAAAAAGGUUCUGAUAAAUUUUAACAUCAAUAUUUAACAUCAAUUUAUGUUAAAAACUCUCUAGAAAGUGGGCACAGAGGGAACAUACUUCAACAUAAUAAAGGCCAUAUAUGGCAAACACACAACUAAUAUCAUACUCCACAAUGGAAAGCUAAAAGCAUUCUAAGAUCAGGAACAAGACAAGGAUACCACUCUCACCACAGCAAUCAGAGAAGAAAAAAAUAAAGAAAAGUAAAUUCAAAAUGAAUUAAAGACCUAAAUCUAAGCCAGAUACUA